GAUGAAGAACGUAGCGAAAUGCGAUAAGUAAUGUGAAUUGCAGAAUUCAGUGAAUCAUCGAGUCUUUGAACGCACAUUGCGCCCCCUGGUAUUCCGGGGGGCAUGCCUGUCCGAGCGUCAUUGCUGCCCUCAAGCACGGCUUGUGUGUUGGGCCCCGCCCCCCGGCUCCCGGGGGGCGGGCCCGAAAGGCAGCGGCGGCACCGCGUCCGGUCCUCGAGCGUAUGGGGCUUCGUCACCCGCUCCGUAGGCCCGGCCGGCGCCCGCCGGCGACCCCCCUCAAUCUUUUCAGGUUGACCGCGGAUCAGGUAGGGAUACCCGCUGAACUUAAGCAUAUCAAUAAGCGGAGGA
rnacentral:misc_RNA from 1 species